rnacentral:rRNA from 1 species
UACGUAGGUGGCAAGCGUUGUCCGGAGUUAUUGGGCGUAAAGCGCGCGCAGGCGGUGCAGUAAGUCUCUGGUGAAAGCGCUCGGCUUAACUGGGCGAGGGCCGGGGAGACUGCCACGCUGGAGGGGAGCAGAGGCGAGUGGAAUUCCGGGUGUAGUGGUGAAAUGCGUAGAGAUCCGGAGGAACACCAGUGGCGAAGGCGACUCUUUGGUCUGUAACUGACGCUGAGGCGCGAAAGCGUGGGGAGCAAACAGG